rnacentral:rRNA from 1 species
UAAGCAAUAUCAAUAAGCGGAGGAAAAGAAACUAACAAGGAUUCCCCUAGUAACGGCGAGCGAACCGGGAAGAGCUCAAAUUUGAAAUCUGAUGUCCUCUGGUCGUCAGAGUUGUAAUCUACAGAGGCGUUUUCCGCGCCGGUCCGUGUCCAAUUAUCCUUGGAACAGGGUAAUCAAAGAGGGUGACAAUCCCGUAGUUGACACGACCGCCGGUGCUUUGUGAUACGUCUUCUAAGAGUCGAGUUGUUUGGGAAUGCAGCUCAAAACGGGUGGUAAAUUCCAUCUAAGGCUAAAUAUUGGCGAGAGACCGAUAGCGAACAAGUACCGUGAGGGAAAGAUGAAAAGCACUUUGGAAAGAGAGUUAAACAGUACGUGAAAUUGUUGAAAGGGAAACGAUUGAAGUCAGUCGUGUCCGAGGGGUUCAGCCGGUCCUGCCGGUGCAUUCCUCUCGGACGGGUCAACAUCGGUUUUGGCCGGCGGAAAAGGGCGCGAGGAAUGUGGCACCUCCGGGUGUGUUAUAGCCUCGUGUCGCAUACGUCGGCCGAGACCGAGGAACGCAGCUCGCCUUCAUGGCCGG